GGGCGAGUGGCGAAAUUGGUAGUACGCAGGAGACUUAAAAUCUCCAGGCCGUAAAAGGCCGUGCGGGUUCGACUCCCGCCUCGCCCA
rnacentral:tRNA from 1 species